rnacentral:rRNA from 1 species
UACGUAGGGCGCAAGCGUUAUCCGGAAUUAUUGGGCGUAAAGAGCUCGUAGGCGGUUCGGCAAGUCGGGUGUGAAAACUCCAGGCUCAACCUGGAGACGCCACCCGAUACUGCUGUGACUCGAGUCCGGUAGGGGACCACGGAAUUCCUGGUGUAGCGGUGAAAUGCGCAGAUAUCAGGAGGAACACCGGUGGCGAAGGCGGUGGUCUGGGCCGGAACUGACGCUGAGGAGCGAAAGCGUGGGGAGCGAACAGG